rnacentral:rRNA from 1 species
CCAAUAGCGUAUAUUAAAGUUGUUGCAGUUAAAAAGCUCGUAGUUGAAUUUCGGGAUUGACACAUCGGUCGUGCCUUAAGGGGUAUGAACUGGUGUAGUCAAUUUCUCACCUUCUGGAGAACCGCGAUGCCCUUAAUUGGGUGUCGCGGGGAACCAGGACCUUUACUUUGAAAAAAUUAGAGUGUUUAAAGCAGGCAUUUUGCUUGAAUACAUUAGCAUGGAAUAAUAAAAUAGGACGGCAUGAUUCUAUUUUGUUGGUUUCUAGGAUCACCGUAAUGAUUAAUAGGGAUAGUUGGGGGCAUUAGUAUUCAAUUGUCAGAGGUGAAAUUCUUGGAUUUAUUGAAGACUAACUACUGCGAAAGCAUUUGCCAAGGAUGUUUUCAUUAAUCAAGAACGAAAGUUAGGGGAUCGAAGACGAUCAGAUACCGUCGUAGUCUUAACCAUAAACUAUGCCGACUAGGAAUCAGACGAUGUUAAUUUUUUAAUGACUCGUUUGGCACCUUAUG